rnacentral:tRNA from 1 species
GGUCCCGUAGUGUAGCGGUUAUCACGUCGCCCUGUCACGGCGAAGAUCGCGGGUUCGAAUUCCCGUCGGGACCG